rnacentral:tRNA from 1 species
GCUUUCGUAGCUCAAUUGGUAGAGCACCCGUUUAGUAAGCGGGAGGUAAUGAGAUCAAAGCUCAUCGAAAGCA